AAAUAGAAGUCAAAAAGAGACAAAUCAUUGUUAAUGAUAAAAUUGAAUAAAAUUCCUAUUUAAG
rnacentral:tRNA from 1 species